GGGCUUGUGGUCUAGGGGUAUGAUCUUCGUUUCGCAUAUGAAUGGUCCCGGGUUCAAUUCCCGGCGAGUCCA
rnacentral:tRNA from 3 species